AUUGAACGCUGGCGGCAGGCCUAACACAUGCAAGUCGAACGAGUGGCGGACGGGUGAGUAAUGUCUGGGAAACUGCCCGAUGGAGGGGGAUAACUACUGAAAACGGUAGCUAAUACCGCCUACCAUCGGAUGUGCCCCGAUGGGAUUAGCUAGUAGGUGGGGUAACGGCUCACCGAGGCGACGAUCGUUAGCUGGUAUGAGAGGAUGACCAGCCACACGGGAACUGAGACACGGUCCAGACUCCUACGGUAGGCAGGAGUGGGGAAUAGUGCACAGUGGGCGCAAGCCUGAUGCAGCCAUGCCGCGUGUAGGAAGAAGGCCUUCGGGUUGUAAAGUACUUUCAGCGAGGAGGCGUUACUCGCAGAAGAAGCACCGGCUAACUCCGUGCCAGCAGCCGCGGUAAUUC
rnacentral:rRNA from 1 species